rnacentral:rRNA from 1 species
GAUCCUGGCUCAGGAUGAACGCUGGCGGCGUGCCUAAUACAUGCAAGUCGAGCGAACAGAUAAGGAGCUUGCUCCUUUGACGUUAGCGGCGGACGGGUGAGUAACACGUGGGUAACCUACCUAUAAGACUGGGAUAACUUCGGGAAACCGGAGCUAAUACCGGAUAAUAUUUCGAACCGCAUGGUUCGAUAGUGAAAGAUGGUUUUGCUAUCACUUAUAGAUGGACCCGCGCCGUAUUAGCUAGUUGGUAAGG